AUUGAACGCUGGCGGCAUGCCUUACACAUGCAAGUCGAACGGUAACAGGUCUUCGGAUGCUGACGAGUGGCGAACGGGUGAGUAAUACAUCGGAACGUGCCCGAUCGUGGGGGAUAACGAAGCGAAAGCUUUGCUAAUACCGCAUACGAUCUAUGGAUGAAAGCGGGGGAUCGCAAGACCUCGCGCGAUUGGAGGGGGCGAUAUCAGAUUAGGUAGUUGGUGGGGUAAAGGCCCACCAAGCCAACGAUCUGUAGCUGGUCUGAGAGGACGACCAGCCACACUGGAACUGAGACACGGUCCAGACUCCUACGGGAGGCAGCAGUGGGGAAUUUUGGACAAUGGGCGAAAGCCUGAUCCAGCCAUUCCGCGUGCAGGAUGAAGGCCCUCGGGUUGUAAACUGCUUUUGUACAGAACGAAAAGGUUUCUACUAAUACUAGGAGCUCAUGACGGUACUGUAAGAAUAAGCACCGGCUAACUACGUGCCAGCAGCCGCCGUAA
rnacentral:rRNA from 1 species